rnacentral:lncRNA from 10 species
UUAUGCCUCCAGUGAUAACAAUAGCAGCUGGGACCUUUAAGAAAUGUGUGUGUAUGCCUUCUAUUGAAGAGUUACAUAACAAAAGCUAUUUAUGUCAAACACCUUAUAAGGGAAAGAUUUAGCCUAAAUGUCAACAUAACAUAUAAUACUUUUUCAUAUUUAGAUAGGACGAAAACAUCUGCUAUCAGUGCUGCAUAUAAUUUUUGGUUUGGAGUAUUAGAUCUGUGGGGGCUUUCAACAUUUCAAGUAAGCAUCUCCUUGCCUUAAUUUACGAAUUCAUCGAGGGGCCUUUUUUUCAAUAUUGUUUCUGUAUAAAAAACAAAUACCGAUACAUCAUGAUUUGGUUUUCCAAGUCCUUCUAAUGAACGCACACAAAAGAAGGGCACAAUUUCAUGUUGUUUGAUUUGACAUUUGUAAUUCCCAAGCAUGCCAUGAAGCCAUUCAGUGGUGCCUUAUAAACCGAGGCUGCUUUUGUCUCCUGAAAAUGGCUGUGGUUUUGGAGAGGACCUGGCUGACCAGAACCUUGGUAAUUCUGAUGAAGGAAGAGAUCAGCCGCUCAAGGAAGAAAACCUUUCCCAGCAAAGGAACAGCAGCGCCCAGUUCAAGACAACAUCUGCAGCUCGAUUUUGGAGGGGCUUAAAUUCCCUCCAGCUUCCCUAGUGACACCACAGCAAGCUUUCUGAGAAGGAAUCCCACCACCAAAUAGACAAUGACUCUUGUUUACACCAGACGCUUAGGAGUGACCACACGUGGGCCUGUGAGGCAGGCUUGGCUGGAAAAUCCCAGCUUCCCUCUUAGCUUUUCUGCUCAGACGGCAGAACCUAACUGAGAUGGGAAGAGAACCCCAAUUAGCAAAGCCAGGGAUUCGCCUGCACCCAUGCAUGUGCCGGUUCCGUCCGUCCCCUUGCUUCAGGUUUCUUUGACGAAUUGGACGGUGUGACCACGGGUUAAUGAGAAAGCCCAGUGGACGGCGGCACGCACGGUCAUCUGGAUGUUCUCUGCUCCUGCCCCAGCCCCUGAGCCUCCCACUGUGGACCACAGCCCCCGUUGGGGAACACAGAGGUCACGGGGGCCAAAUGCAAAUACCACUUCUCCUUGGGACCUGUUGGAACCAGGCGACACCAACUUAAACUUGGCAAAACGCAAGUUCAAUUUCUUUUGUUCUGAAGUCACAACUUGGAUGUAACAGCUCCUAAGCCAAUAUGAUCUGAAAAAGAACUCACUACUGAGCUGCCCCCUUCCCACGGUCCGAAAAUUGCUUCAGCCUAAACGGAAGGCAAUUUCCUUUUCUUUUAUAACAAGAGAACCGCUAAGCUUCUCUUAGUAUUUCCACCCAGUGUCACCACUAAAUACCAGCACUUACAAAAAGAUCCCUCGUUGUGUCAACUGCCAGGCUGUCUAAUACGCUGAAUUUUAAAUAUGUUGGCUACAUGAUUAUUGUCAGAGAGAAUCAUGCUCCAGAUAAGGACCAGGAAGUGCAUCUAGAGACAGCAUGAAUAUUUAGAAUAAAAAUGCGCUGCUCCAGAGGUUUCUGCAGAGACUUAGAUUUGAAACAAUGGCUUUCUGUGUGCUGUGUCCCAUCCACUCAGUGACAUUGAUGCUGACUGUCAUUAUCUACAUUUCACAUCAGAGGAGAUGGAAGGAAAGGAAGAUUCAGUUUCACAAGGGGAGAACAUAACAGAUGAGGCUCGAAGGUCAUGACUGCAACGUUUGCUCCAGGAAUCCAUCUGAGAACUCUGUCCAUGUUCUCAAAUGCCUGGAUGGCGAGGUGGCUGAGGGCAGUAUCGUGCGGUCCCCAGCAGCCAGGACUCAGCCCAGCUGACCUGUCCCCAGCCAGCAGAAGAGGAUCCGCAGAUGCCCGCAGGAAGGGGACGCAUUGCCAGGUCCACCAGCUCUCCCACAGACAGCUCCAGGCCUCACUGCUGAGUCUGUGUCCUAUAUACAAUGUCAUCUGAGGGUGGCACCGAACACCUGGCUGGCUUGCUGGCCACCCACCACCCUUUCAGCCACCCUGGCUGCCCUCUGGUUUCUAUCGCGUCUGUUAAAAGGCAGACCCCUCUGGAUGCUUUCCUCCACUCUUUCAAAGUGCCCCCACCCUCACCCUUCAAACAUCAAGUUGAUGGUUGUACCAUGAGCCACAGGAACAAUAAACAGCCCGGAAGCCACUCCACUCAAGGUCUCGAGGCCCUCCCGACAGCCGGCCGCCUGCCCUGCCACGGAGGCUGGGCAGCACAGCUGGGGGCUUGAGAGCUGGUUCAAAUCCUGUGUCUGCCCCCUGCGAGCUAUGUUUGCUCAGGCAAGUAGCUUGCCCUCUCUGGAUCUAGUUUCCCUGUCCUCAAAAGCAUGGGCAGACAUGGGCAAAGUGCUGGCUUGCAAUUCUCAAUAAAUUACAGAUUAUCAGAUCGCUAUUUAACUCAGGCAACAAAAGGAAAAUACUUGAUUGUGUGGAGAGCAAUAACUCUUAAAAAUGGGGUGGCCGCCCCAUAAUAAGAAAAGCUAGAAAAAAAUAAACCACAGACGCAGUGAUUUGGCAGGGUGAUAUACGGAGGAAAUUCUGCCAUCAGGAAACAGUAUUGUCCAUAGGUUUUCUUCCUACUUUCUUCCUUUAAUUACUAAAUAAAAUCUUCAAUCACUGAAAAAUCACUGUAAUAUAAACAAACAUGCCGUUCCCAGUGGCAUUAGGCUAUUCUUACAUUUAAAGUAUCUAUACAUUCAUAAUUAAAAUAUUAACGUUUUGCAAAUAUAAAAAACUUGAAAAAUAGAGUGGCAGGAUUGUGGUUGAGUUCUUUUCUGUGAUACAUCUUUUAUUAAUGUCUUAUGUUUUUUCUUCCUCAACUUUUUCUGUGAAUUUCUUUCCAUAUACACGUAGUUGGAACCUCGAUGCAGUUUUACAUGAGUAUUUUAAAGUGCUGAACAAUAUUCUAACACAAAACCAUCUUCCUUCCUAUUUUUGGGCAUUCGCGUUGUUAAAUUGAUCUCUGUUACAGAAAUAUUUCCCCUGUAGAGCUUUUUACCAUAUUUUGGGUUAUUUCAUUGGGACAGAUUCCCAGUAGUGAUGAGAGUCGAAGGCUAUCCACAUCGGAUGAUCCUUGAUAGAGCUCAGUGUCACUUAUUACGGAGCCUCCCCUCGCGGACAUAAAGAACCUACACUCAGGCAGCCCCCUAU